rnacentral:rRNA from 1 species
UACAGGGGGUGCAAACGUUGCUCGGAAUUAUUGGGCGUAAAGCGCGCGUAGGCGGCUACCUAAGUCGGAUGUGAAAGCCCCUGGCUUAACUGGGGAAGUGCACCCGAAACUGGGUAGCUAGAGUGCAAAAGAGGGUCGCGGAAUUCCCGGUGUAGAGGUGAAAUUCGUAGAUAUCGGGAGGAACACCGGUGGCGAAGGCAGCGACCGGGGUUAACACUGACGCUGAGGCGCGAAAGCGUGGGGAGCGAACAGG